CACGACCUUGCGCUUUUGGAGCGGCCGAUGUCUGAUUAGCUAGUUGGUGAGGUAAAGGCUUACCAAGGCGUCGAUCAGUAGCUGGUCUGAGAGGACGACCAGCCACACUGGGACUGAGACACGGCCCAGACUCCUACGGGAGGCAGCAGUGGGGAAUUUUGGACAAUGGGGGAAACCCUGAUCCAGCCAUGCCGCGUGAGUGAAGAAGGCCUUCGGGUUGUAAAGCUCUUUCAGCCGGAACGAAACGGUCACGGUUAAUACCCGUGACUACUGACGGUACCGGAAGAAGAAGCACCGGCUAACUACGUGCCAGCAGCCGCGGUAAUACGUAGGGUGCGAGCGUUAAUCGGAAUUACUGGGCGUAAAGCGUGCGCAGGCGGUUUUGUAAGUCAGAUGUGAAAUCCCCGGGCUUAACCUGGGAACU
rnacentral:rRNA from 1 species